AUGCACUGUAACAUGGUUUAUGUGAUUAAAGUUUUCGGGAAACUUCGUACUACUCGGAUGCAAUUUGGGAUAGUAAGUGCUCCAGAGUGGAGUUUCUCUGAUGCAGUUUCUCACAUGGAGAACUCAAAAAAAGCUCCAUGGUGCUUGUCGAGUCUCAAUCCCCAGGGUGAAAACACAAGGUCAGACUUUUAUUGGUUAUAUCUGGCAAUGGACUUGUUGAAAUCAUUGUUUUUGGGUGAGCUCAAACUUUGUUCAGUCAGCUUGUGCAUUGUUUUCCUUUUAGAGGUGUUGCUUUUGAAGAAUCUCUUCUGUAUUUUGAGUGUUGUCUUUGGUGAAUCUCUUUUGUAUUUUGAGUGUUGUCUUUGGUGA
rnacentral:rRNA from 1 species